GGGCAGGUUCACACAUAUCCUGGGAGUAGUAUAAGGGCAGGUUCACACAUAUCCUCAGAGUAGUAUAAGGGCAGGUUCACACAUAUCCUCAGAGUAGUAUAAGGGCAGGUUCACACAUAUCCUCAGUGUAUACAUAUAAAUGACACCAGUGUGAACUAUGGCGCACAUUCCCAUGGAGAACAGUGACCACAUUGUGGAACAAUAUCCGGUGAGAACGCGGCCUAAGAAACCUAAACCUGUCUGACAAAGCGGAGUGCGUAAUUUAUAGAACGGAAGGGGGAGGGGCUUACCCAAAUAGAUUUGAAUAUUUUAUUUAGUACCUAGGACUAUAUAUAUAUAUAUUUUUUUUUUUUUUUUUUUUUUUUUCAGUAUUACUUUUCCCGCCAUCACUGUAAUGUUUUUUUUUUUCUUAACUUUUUUGUCCUUUUUAAAAAAAAAUGUAUAUACCAUCCAUUAAAUGGGGGAUUCACUGUGCUGGGACCUGUUGUACUUUUCGUUAUGAGGUGCAAUGAAAUAAGGAAAGUUAUUUAUUUUAUUUUUUUUAAAUGUAAAAAAAAACUUGUCGUAAAUUUGCGUAGCCUCCUACAAAGUGCUCUUUUCUUACGGAAACGCUCGUCUAGCUCUUCAUCCUGUUUAUGUUUAACCGUUGUUGUAACGUGACGAACACUGAGGGGUUAAUAGGACGGGUGGAUUUUGAUGCGAGGGACGGAGACUUACAGCCAUUGAUCUGUAUGGAAGUGACCGCACUGGUAGUCGCGGUGGCGGGUCCCGUCUGCCGCCAUGUUUGUUUUUCUGUCACGCUAAGGACGCAUGCCUCUGUCUGUGGUGACCGGUGAGGGAAUGAACGCCGCUGAAUGUAAUCCACAUCCCACAGGCUCCAUCCAGACACUAGGCCUCAGUUACCAACACCGGCCAUGUUACCCCUAGCAACCAGUCCCAGAGCAGCAGUGUAAGAAGCUGAGCUCUGAUUGGUUGAUUGGGGUAACUAGGCCGGAGUUGAUAAUUGAGGCCUUGUGGGGGGUUUUUCUUCCUUUUUGUUUCUGUUUUAUUAUUUUAUGUACUUGUGUAUGUGGCGCCGGGUCACUUUUAAGGCCGGGACAAGUCACUAAUGGUAAAUUCGUUGCCAAAGUUGGUCGGCGUUUGCCAUUAAGUAUCGUCAUAUCGUAUCUAUUGCACCUAUUCUUUAGCUAGGCCCGACUUGACUAUGACCCACAAUGGAGUUUAUAUGUCUAGAUCAAUGUUACCCAUCCAGAGUGCCUCCAGCUGUUGCAAAACUACAACUCCCAGCAUGCCCGGACAGCCGAAGGCUGUCCGGGCAUGCUGGGAGAUGUAGUUUUGCAACAGCUGGAGAUCCACAAUAUGGAGACCACUGCUAUAUUGUCCAUAAUUUUGCUAAAUUAGUAGUUUUGCAACAGCUGGAGGGACAUUGGAUGGGAAACACUGGUCUGGAUUAUACGUUUACAUGCACAAAAUGUCAUGAGUGCAGAGAUUAACACCACCAAAUCUCUACUAAAGGGGGUUAAUUAUUUUUUUUGGGG